rnacentral:rRNA from 1 species
AUUGAACGCUGGCGGCAUGCCUUACACAUGCAAGUCGAACGGUAACAGGUCUUCGGAUGCUGACGAGUGGCGAACGGGUGAGUAAUACAUCGGAACGUGCCCAGACGUGGGGGAUAACGAGGCGAAAGCUUUGCUAAUACCGCAUACGAUCUAAGGAUGAAAGCAGGGGACCGCAAGGCCUUGCGCGUUUGGAGCGGCCGAUGGCAGAUUAGGUAGUUGUUGGGAUAAAAGCUUACCAAGCCGACGAUCUGUAGCUGGUCUGAGAGGACGACCAGCCACACUGGGACUGAGACACGGCCCAGACUCCUACGGGAGGCAGCAGUGGGGAAUUUUGGACAAUGGGCGAAAGCCUGAUCCAGCAAUGCCGCGUGCAGGAUGAAGGCCUUCGGGUUGUAAACUGCUUUUGUACGGAACGAAAAGGCUCUGGCUAAUACCUGGGGCACAUGACGGUACCGUAAGAAUAAGCACCGGCUAACUACGUG